rnacentral:rRNA from 1 species
AUAAUACUUUACUACUUGGAUAACCGUGGUAAUUCUAGAGCUAAUACAUGCUGAAAAUCCCGACUUCGGAAGGGAUGUAUUUAUUAGAUUAAAAACCAAUGCCCCUCGGGGCUCUCUGGUGAAUCAUGAUAACUAGUCGAAUCGACAGGCCUUGUGCCGGCGAUGGCUCAUUCAAAUUUCUUCCCUAUCAACUUUCGAUGUUUGGGUAUUGGCCAAACAUGGUGGCAACGGGUAACGGAGGGUUAGGGCUCGACCCCGGAGAAGGAGCCUGAGAAACUGCUACUACAUUACCCAAUCCCGACACGGGGAGGU